UGUGUCGACACUGCCUUCUGGCUUAGGCUCA
rnacentral:piRNA from 1 species